UACGAAGGUGGCAAGCGUUGUUCGGAUUCACUGGGCGUACAGGGAGCGUAGGCGGUUGGGUAAGCCCUCCGUGAAAGCCCACGGCUCAACCCCGGAGGUGCGGCCGAUACUCUUUGGCUCGAGGCCGGAAGAGGAGGGUGGAAUACCCAGUGUAGAGGUGAAAUUCGUAGAUAUUGGGUGGAACACCGGUGGCGAAAGCGGCUCUCUGGUCCGGUCCUGACGCUGAGGCGCGAAAGCGUGGGGAGCAAACAGG
rnacentral:rRNA from 1 species